rnacentral:rRNA from 1 species
CCUACGGGUGGCAGCAGUGAGGAAUCUUCGGCAAUGGGCGCAAGCCUGACCGAGCAACGCCGCGUGCGGGACGGAGGCCUUCGGGUCGUAAACCGCUUUUCCCAGGGGCGAGAACGGACGGUACCUGGGGAAGAAGCCUCGGCUAACUACGUGCCAGCAGCCGCGGUAAUACGUAGGAGGCGAGCGUUGUCCGGAGUUACUGGGCGUAAAGGGUGCGCAGGCGGCCUGCCGCGUGGGGGGUGAAAUCUCUCCGCUUAACGGGGAGGGUGCUUCCCAGACGGGCAGGCUUGAGGGGCGGAGAGGGGCGCGGAAUUCCGGGUGGAGCGGUGAAAUGCGUAGAGAUCCGGAAGAACACCGACGGCGAAGGCAGCGCCCUGGACGCCAUCUGACGCUCGGGCACGAAAGCGCGGGGAGCGAACAGGAUUAGAUACCCCUGUAGUC